AUUGAACGCUGGCGGCAGGCCUAACACAUGCAAGUCGAGCGGAUGACGGGAGCUUGCUCCUUGAUUCAGCGGCGGACGGGUGAGUAAUGCCUAGAAAUCUGCCUGGUAGUGGGGGACAACGUUUCGAAAGGAACGCUAAUACCGCAUACGUCCUACGGGAGAAAGCAGGGGACCUUCGGGCCUUGCGCUUUCAGAUGAGCCUAGGUCGGAUUAGCUAGUUGGUGGGGUAAUGGCUCACCAAGGCGACGAUCCGUAACUGGUCUGAGAGGAUGAUCAGUCACACUGGAACUGAGACACGGUCCAGACUCCUACGGGAGGCAGCAGUGGGGAAUAUUGGACAAUGGGCGAAAGCCUGAUCCAGCCAUGCCGCGUGUGUGAAGAAGGUCUUCGGAUUGUAAAGCACUUUAAGUUGGGAGGAAGGGCAGUAAGUUAAUACCUUGCUGUUUUGACGUUACCGACAGAAUAAGCACCGGCUAACUUCGUGCCAGCAGCCGCCGUAAAAC
rnacentral:rRNA from 1 species